CAUUGUCCUGCAAUAGGCAGAGCUAUCACGUCCAGGAAAAAUGAGGAAGGGAACCACAGAGGCAGCGUGAGAUCCAAAUACAGCAUUCGAAGGGUAACAGGCGUAAAGACCCUAGGAAGCUUCCAGAUGCAGGGAGAGACGGUAUACAGGAAGCUGAGGAGCUGCCUACCUGGAGAUGGACUCCACGUCUAAAGGAGAAACUGGGACAAGAAACUCCCUCCCUCCCAUUCCUGCAGGACCCAAAGCAGACUGGAGCUCUGUAUACAGUGGGUGCUCAUUGCUGCUGACUGAAAGAGCUUCCCGCCAGUGCUGUCUUGGAUGGCAAGCCUACCUCAGGCAUCUCCUCAUCUUCGUCUUCUGAAGACACGUCUUCCUGUGUGCAC